rnacentral:lncRNA from 1 species
ACAAAAAAAAAAAAAUUUCAUGUAGGUCACGAUUUUUCUCACCAAAAUAGGUGAAAAACAUUAAUAAAUGUUAAAAAAGAAAAUGGAAUUGAUUCGAACCCGACUCGAAUCGAAGAGGCAAUCUUCUGAUCUGGAGGCGGACGAGCCACCAUGGCGCCGCGGAUGCACCUUUCCUAGGGAUGGCAAUGGGGAGGGGAGGGGAGGGGACCAAUCUCCCCGUACCCAUCCCCGAUAUUUUGCGUAUGUCCCCGUCCCCUCCCCGUCCCCGUCAGAAUUACUUGAGAGAAUCCUCAUCCCCUCCCCGAAUAAUAACAUGGGAUCCCCGAGGGUCCCCGAUCCCCGAAUAACUAAUACAUUUUUUUUUUUCGAUUUUGAGUUAAUCAUAUUAAAAUAAAAAAUUCAAAUAAAAGUAAAGUUCGAAAUAUAUCUUAUAUUAAUAUCCAUUACAAAAGUCAUAUACAUUAAAUUAGUAAGUAACGCAGCAUGCAAGGGAUACAAACUUCUUUUACAAACUAUCAUGAACAAAUUAAUAGUCUAAUACAAAAUUGUUACAAAUAAAAUCGAAUUUAGAUUCAAAAUUAACUUUUUCAAUGGUGGCGUGGGCACUUUAUAAAUGUGGACUAUUCCCUUUAUAACACAAUAGUUAAAUCAGAGCAAAUCAAGAGUAAAUAUUAGAUUAGAUUAGAUUAGAUUAGAUAUUAAAAUUGUGAUUCGCUGUGGGCAAUUAUAACAUCUAAAAAUAAAUAAAAAAUAGAUUUAAGUUUAAAAUAUUUAAAGAAUAUUAAAAAUAAAAAACUUUUGUCUAAUAGAAUCUACUCGGUCUUUUUAAUGUCCCAAAUAAAAAUUUAGGACUUUAAUUAGUUAAUUAGGCCUAAAAGUUUAAUAAUAUAAAUAUUUUGAUAUUUUUUUAUUUUUACCAAUAUUUAUAAUUUUAUAAUUUAAAUUUUAUUAUUUAUUUACUAGUAAUUUUAAAAAAUAAAAAUAAAAUUAAAAAUUAAAAUGGGGAAAUGGGUAGGAGAUGAGAAUUCCACCUCAUCCCCGUCCCCUCCCAGAAUAAGAAAUUGGGUAUGAAAUUAUCUCCAUACUCUCCCCGAAUAGGAAAAAUCCCCGAGGGUACCCGUCCCGUGGGGAUUUUUGCCAUCCCUAACCUUUCCACGUAAGUACAAUAUUGUCUUUUUAAUUUGGGUAUAAAAUCUGAAACAAAUUCAUUAUCACAACUAUAUACAUUUGAAACCUGAAACUUUGUUACGAUUAAAAGGGCCUCGGCUAGUCUAAUUAAAGAUCACCGAUGAUAGGGGAUCUAAUAUUUUAUUUCUUGUAUGAUAAGAUUCAAUAAUUAAUUCGUGUAUCCAUCUUCAACCCUCUUGUGUGUCAGGUUGUUCCUAGUCCAAUCAUAAUAAAUAAUGUCACAAUCUGUUGUGACCAAGAACCUAAUUAAAAUACUUAUUUUUAAUUUAAUGCAUGAUGUUUGCUUGUUUUAUGAAUCCCCUCCACUAGUUUAUAUUCAAUUUGCAUUAAUUUCUCCGCUUAUCACCUAAAUCAAAUUGGUUUCAUACAUGUAAAUGCCAUGUGAAGCUUGUCGCGAUAUAUGUACCCAUUUGGCCCGGCUGAAGCAAUUGAACUUUGCUUUAUUUUAGUAUACCUCUGCAUGGUUAAGGUUAGUAUCUGCUAAAUAAGAUCAACUAUCCAGAGGUAUUUUUUUAAGGAUGCGUUUGAAAUUGAGGUUGGACAGUUGUAGCUUUUAAGAUACAACACUAAAGUGUUUGGUAAACACUAACUAUUGUAAUUUCGAAGAUAUGUUAAUAUAAUUUUUCACUUAUACAAUAUAAAAUUUAUUAUAUUUU